AGUCGAGCGGCCCUUCGGGGCAGCGGCGGACGGGUGAGUAACGCGUGGGAACCUACCCAUUGGUGCGGAAUAACAGCGGGAAACUGCUGCUAAUACCGCAUAAGCCCUACGGGGGAAAGAUUUAUCGCCGAUGGAUGGGCCCGCGUUCGAUUAGGUAGUUGGAGGGGUAACGGCCCACCAAGCCUACGAUCGAUAGCUGGUCUGAGAGGAUGAUCAGCCACACUGGGACUGAGACACGGCCCAGACUCCUACGGGAGGCAGCAGUGAGGAAUAUUGGACAAUGGGGGAAACCCUGAUCCAGCCAUGCCGCGUGCGCGAUGAAGGCCUUAGGGUUGUAAAGCGCUUUCACCUGUGACGAUGAUGACGGUAGCGGGAGAAGAAGCCCCGGCUAACUCCGUGCCAGCAGCCGCGGUAAUACGGAGGGGGCAAGCGUUGUUCGGAUUUACUGGGCGUAAAGGGCGCGUAGGCGGCUGUGCAAGUUGGGGGUGAAAGGCCUGGGCUCAACCUAGGAACUGCCCUCAAAACUGCACGGCUCGAGAGUGGGAGAGGAUGGUGGAAUUCCCAGUGUAGAGGUGAAAUUCGUAGAUAUUGGGAAGAACACCGGUGGCGAAGGCGGCCAUCUGGACCAUUUCUGACGCUGAGGCGCGAAAGCGUGGGGAGCGAACAGGAUUAGAUACCCUGGUAGUCCACGCCGUAAACGAUGUCGGCUAGACGUUGCGGGGUCGGCUCGCAGUGUCGCAGCUAACGCGAUAAGCCGACCGCCUGGGGAGUACGG
rnacentral:rRNA from 1 species